rnacentral:rRNA from 1 species
UUGGAGGGCAAGUCUGGUGCCAGCAGCCGCGGUAAUUCCAGCUCCAAUAGCGUAUAUUAAAGUUGUUGCAGUUAAAAAGCUCGUAGUUGAAUUUCGGGAUCAAUAUGUCGGUCGUGCCUUCGGUACGUACUGGCAUCAUUGGUUUCUCCCUUCUGACAAACCAUGAUGUCGUUAAUUUGGUGUUAUGGGGAGUUAGGACUGUUACUUUGAAAAAAUUAGAGUGUUUAAAGCAGGCAUUAGCUUGAAUACAUUAGCAUGGAAUAAUGAAAUAGGACGUUUGACCCUAUUUUGUUGGUUUCUAGGAUCGACGUAAUGAUUAAUAGGGAUAGUUGGGGGCAUUAGUAUUCAAUUGUCAGAGGUGAAAUUCUUGGAUUUAUUGAAGACUAACUACUGCGAAAGCAUUUGCCAAGGAUGUUUUCAUUAAUCAAGAACGAAAGUUAGGGGAUCGAAGACGAUCAGAUACCGUCGUAGUCUUAACCAUAAACUAUGCCGACUAGGGAUCGGAUGAUGUUAAUUUUUUAAUGACUUAUUCGGCGCCUUACGGGAAAC